rnacentral:tRNA from 1 species
GCCUGGGUAGCGUAGUGGUUAAGGCGGUUGCCUGGUAAACGGGAGGGCGUGGGUUAGAAUCCCAAUCAAGGCA